UGAGGAAUAUUGCACAAUGGGCGAAAGCCUGAUGCAGCGACGCCGCGUGGGUGAAGAAGGUUUUCGGAUCGUAAAACCCUUUUCUGUGUGACGAGAACGGACGGUAGCACAGGAAUAAGUCUCGGCUAACUACGUGCCAGCAGCCGCGGUAAUACGUAGGGACCAAGCGUUGUUCGGAUUUACUGGGCGUAAAGGGCGCGUAGGCGGCAUGACAAGUCACUUGUGAAAUCUCUGGGCUUAACCCAGAACGGCCAAGUGAUACUGUCGCGCUAGAGUGCAGAAGGGGCAAUCGGAAUUCUUGGUGUAGCGGUGAAAUGCGUAGAUAUCAAGAGGAACACCUGAGGUGAAGACGGGUUGCUGGGCUGACACUGACGCUGAGGCGCGAAAGCCAGGGGAGCAAACGGGAUUAGAUACCCCUGUAGUCCCUGAGCGGGCUGGCAAGGCGCAU
rnacentral:rRNA from 1 species